rnacentral:rRNA from 1 species
AUUGAACGCUGGCGGCAGGCCUAACACAUGCAAGUCGAGCGGAUGAAGGGAGCUUGCUCCUGGAUUCAGCGGCGGACGGGUGAGUAAAGCCUAGGAAUCUGCCUGGUAGUGGGGGAUAACGUCCGGAAACGGGCGCUAAUACCGCAUACAUCCUGAGGGAGAAAGUGGGGGAUCUUCGGACCUCACGCUAUCAGAUGAGCCUAGGUCGGAUUAGCUAGUUGGUGGGGUAAAGGCCUACCAAGGCGACGAUCCGUAACUGGUCUGAGAGGAUGAUCAGUCACACUGGAACUGAGACACGGUCCAGACUCCUACGGGAGGCAGCAGUGGGGAAUAUUGGACAAUGGGCGAAAGCCUGAUCCAGCCAUGCCGCGUGUGUGAAGAAGGUCUUCGGAUUGUAGAGCACUUUAAGUUGGGAGGAAGGGCAGUAAGUUAAUACCUUGCUGUUUUGACGUUACCAACAGAAUAAGCACCGGCUAACUUCGUG